rnacentral:rRNA from 1 species
GACGAACGCUGGCGGCGUGCUUAACACAUGCAAGUCGAACGGGCCCGCUCUCUUUUUUGGGGGUGGGUUGAGUGGCGAACGGGUGAGUAUCACCUGAGUAACCUGCCCCCUGCUCCUGGAUAACUGCUUGAAAGGGCGGCUAAUACGGGGUGUGCCGGCUGGUCCGCAUGGGCCUGGUCGGGAUAGUUUCAUCUUCGGGUGUUUCGGUGGGGGAUGGGCUCGCGGCCUAUCAGCUUGUUGGUGGGGUGAUGGCCCACCAAGGCGGUGACGGGUAGCCGGCCUGAGAGGGUGGGCGGCCACACUGGGACUGAGACACGGCCCAGACUCCUGCGGGAGGCAGCAGUGGGGGGUAUUGCACAAUGGGCGGAAGCCUGAUGCAGCGACGUCGCGUGAGGGAUGGAGGCCUUCGGGUUGUGAACCUCUUUCUCCGGUGGUGAAGGCCCUGUCCGUUGCGGCGGGGUUGACGGUAGCCGGGUAUGAAGCGCCGGCUAACUACGUG